ACCGCAUUAGUCCAGAGGUUAGGAUGUCUGAUUUUCACGAGGCCGUGGGAACGCUCAGAAGACCUGGGUUCGAACCCCAGAUGCGGUG